rnacentral:tRNA from 1 species
GGCCCUAUCGUCUAACGGCUAGGACAUCGCCUUUUCAAGGCGGUAAUCGGGGUUCGAUUCCCCGUAGGGUCACCA